rnacentral:rRNA from 1 species
GAUGAACGCUGGCGGUAUGCUUAACACAUGCAAGUCGAACGGACUCUUCGGAGUUAGUGGCGGACGGGUGAGUAACGCGUGAGAAUCUGGCUUUGGGUUCGGGACAACCACUGGAAACGGUGGCUAAUACCGGAUGUGCCGAGAGGUAAAAGAGAAAUUGCCUGAAGAUGAGCUCGCGUCUGAUUAGCUAGUUGGUGAGGUAAAGGCUCACCAAGGCAGCGAUCAGUAGCUGGUCUGAGAGGAUGACCAGCCACACUGGGACUGAGACACGGCCCAGACUCCUACGGGAGGAAGCAGUGGGGAAUUGUCCGCAAUGGGCGAAAGCCUGACGGAGCAAUACCGCGUGAGGGAAGAAGGCUCUUGGGGUGUAAACCUCUUUUCUUAGGGAAGAACAAAAUGACGGUACCUAAGGAAUCAGCAUCGGCUAACUCCGUG